rnacentral:rRNA from 1 species
AACGAACGCUGGCGGCAUGCCUAACACAUGCAAGUCGAACGAAGCCUUCGGGCUUAGUGGCGCACGGGCGCGUAACGAGUGGGAAUCUGCCCUUGGGUUCGGAAUAACCGUUAGAAAUGACUGCUAAUACCGGAUGAUGUCUUCGGACCAAAGAUUUAUCGCCCAAGGAUGAGCCCGCGUAGGAUUAGGUAGUUGGUGGGGUAAUGGCCCACCAAGCCGACGAUCCUUAGCUGGUCUGAGAGGAUGAUCAGCCACACUGGGACUGAGACACGGCCCAGACCCCUACGGGAGGCAGCAGUGGGGAAUAUUGGACAAUGGGCGAAAGCCUGAUCCAGCAAUGCCGCGUGAGUGAUGAAGGCCUUAGGGUUGUAAAGCUCUUUUACCAGGGAUGAUAAUGACAGUACCUGGAGAAUAAGCUCCGGCUAACUCCGUGCCAGCCGCCGCGGUAA